AAGGAAUACCUAGGAUAGGAUAAGUAAUCCUUCUCACCCCCCCUAAAAGAUUUAGAUGCACUAUUGUAAAGUGGCUGUUCCACUGGAUGUCAUAAGGUGAAUGCACCAAUUUGUAAGUCGCUCUGGAUAAGAGCGUCUGCUAAAUGACUUAAAUGUAAUGUUAAAUGUUACCAAGAAGACAGUGAAUAUUCCUGGGUGGUUGAGUUAAAUUACCAUGAAAAUCUGACCUGAAAAUGCUCUACUUUCCCUCAAUUAUCAACAGCCAAGUUGACAGCUUGUAUAAUUUUUUAGAGAAUAAUGGGCAUAUGUUGCACAAUCCAGGUGUGGAAAGCUCUUAGAGACUUACCCAGAAAGACUCAAUCGGUGCCAAAGGUGUUUCUACAAAGUAUUGACUCAGGGGUAUGAAUACUUUGCAAAAAUAUCUAAAAACAUGUUUUCACUUUUCCUUCAAAGGGAUUGUGUGUAGAUUGCUAAGAAAAACAUAUAUUUAAUCCAUUUUGAAUUCAGUCUGUAAAUCAACAAAAGGUGGUAGGCGUCAAGGGGUAUGAAUACUUUCUGAAGGUACUGUAAGUUAGAGAGAGAGAGAGAGAAAGUCAGGCUGGAUACAUCCUGCUUUUGUUCCAGAGAGAUAAGGUUGUUGUGGAGGGAUAGGGAGACGUGGAGGAGUGGCUGUUCCCUUUUAACAGCAGGUCCUUUGGUUUAAAUGCGGACUGUGAGUCCUAGCCUCUCUAUAACCUCCUCUCCUCCUCUCCUCCUCUCCCCAGGGAGGUUUUAUCUGUCCAUUUCCUCUCCUCCUCUCCCCAGGGAGGUUUUAUCUGUCCAUUUCCUCUCCUCCUCUCCCCAGGGAGGUUUUAUCUGUCCAUUUCCUCUCCUCCUCUCCCCAGGGAGGUUUUAUCUGUCCAUUUCCUCUCCUCCUCUCCCCAGGGAGGUUUUAUCUGUCCAUUUCCUCUCCUCCUCUCCCCAGGGAGGUUUUAUCUGUCCAUUUCCUCUCCUCCUCUCCCCAGGGAGGUUUUAUCUGUCCAUUUCCUCUCCUCCUCUCCCCAGGGAGGUUUUAUCUGUCCAUUUCCUCUCCUCCUCUCCCCAGGGAGGUUUUAUCUGUCCAUUUCCUCUCCUCCUCUCCCCAGGGAGGUUUUAUCUGUCCAUUUCCUCUCCUCCUCUCCCCAGGGAGGUUUUAUCUGUCCAUUUCCUCUCCUCC